AGCGAACGCUGGCGGCAGGCUUAACACAUGCAAGUCGAACGGGCACUUCGGUGCUAGUGGCAGACGGGUGAGUAACGCGUGGGAACGUGCCUUUCGGUUCGGAAUAACUCAGGGAAACUUGAACUAAUACCGGAUACGCCCUUCGGGGGAAAGAUUUAUCGCCGAAAGAUCGGCCCGCGUCUGAUUAGCUAGUUGGUGAGGUAAAGGCUCACCAAGGCGACGAUCAGUAGCUGGUCUGAGAGGAUGAUCAGCCACAUUGGGACUGAGACACGGCCCAAACUCCUACGGGAGGCAGCAGUGGGGAAUAUUGGACAAUGGGCGCAAGCCUGAUCCAGCCAUGCCGCGUGAGUGAUGAAGGCCUUAGGGUUGUAAAGCUCUUUUGUCCGGGAAGAUAAUGACUGUACCGGAAGAAUAAGCCCCGGCUAACUUCGUG
rnacentral:rRNA from 1 species